rnacentral:rRNA from 1 species
UACGUAGGGGCAAGCGUUAUCCGGAAUUAUUGGGCGUAAAGAGUGCGUAGGUGGUUACCUAAGCGCAAGGUUUAAUCUUGAGGCUCAACCUCAUUUUGCCUUGCGAACUGGGCUACUUGAGUGCAGGAGGGGAAAGCGGAAUUCCUAGUGUAGCGGUGAAAUGCGUAGAUAUUAGGAAGAACACCGGUGGCGAAGGCGGCUUUCUGGACUGUAACUGACACUGAGGCACGAAAGCGUGGGGAGCAAACAGGAUUAGAUACCCGGGUAGUCCCUGAGCGGGCU